rnacentral:rRNA from 1 species
GUCUACGGCCAUGCCAUCCUGAACAAGCUAGAUCCCAUCUGAUCUCAGAAGCUAAGCAGGAUCGGGCCUGGUUAGUACUUAGAUGAGAGUCCACCUAGGAAGACCAGGUGAUGUAGAUG